rnacentral:rRNA from 1 species
UACGAAGGGUGCUAGCGUUGCUCGGAAUCACUGGGCGUAAAGGGUGCGUAGGCGGGUCUUUAAGUCAGGGGUGAAAUCCUGGAGCUCAACUCCAGAACUGCCUUUGAUACUGAAGAUCUUGAGUCCGGGAGAGGCGAGUGGAACUGCGAGUGUAGAGGUGAAAUUCGUAGAUAUUCGCAAGAACACCAGUGGCGAAGGCGGCUCACUGGCCCGGUACUGACGCUGAGGCACGAAAGCGUGGGGAGCAAACAGG